rnacentral:pre_miRNA from 1 species
UUCAAGUAAUCCAGGAUAGGCUGUUUCCCCAAAGUACGGCCUACUCUUGAUUACUUGUUUC